CAGGCGCCUGCUACGUGAUUUGCUCGAGACGGAAGAGACCUAUAUAAAGGAAAUGAAGGGCAUCAUUGAUGGCUACAUCACUCCAAUGGAUUUUAUUUGGCUAAAGCAUCUGAUUCCAGAUAUUUUGCAGAACAACAAGGACUUUCUUUUUGGGAACAUUCAGGAGCUUUACGAAUUUCACAACAGGACUUUUCUAAAAGAAUUGGAAAAGUGUGCAGAAAACCCUAAACUUCUGGCAUGUUGUUUUCUCAACAGA